GAUCAUGGCUCAGAACGAACGCUGGCGGCGCGUUUAAGCAUGCAAGUCGAGCGGCAAGGGCCUUCGGGCCCCUAGAGCGGCGGACGGGUGAGUAACACGUGGACAAUCUGCCCCCCGGCCCGGGAUAGCCCAGGGAAACCUGGAUUAAUACCGGAUGAGACGGGACCCGCGAUGGCGGGAUCCGGGAAAGGCGCUGCGGCGCCGCCGGGGGAUGAGUCUGCGUCCCAUUAGCUAGACGGCGGGGUAACGGCCCACCGUGGCGACGAUGGGUAGCCGGCCUGAGAGGGUGGACGGCCACAUUGGAACUGAGACACGGUCCAGACUCCUACGGGAGGCAGCAGCUAAGAAUCUUCCGCAAUGGGCGAAAGCCUGACGGAGCGACGCCGCGUGAACGAAGAAGGCCGUGAGGUUGUAAAGUUCUUUUCGGGAGGGGGAACAACCGUGGCAGGGAAUGGCCGCGGGAUGACGUGAAUCCCGGAAUAAGCCCCGGCUAACUAUGUGCCAGCCGCAGC
rnacentral:rRNA from 1 species